AGCGAACGCUGGCGGCAGGCUUAACACAUGCAAGUCGAGCGGGCAUAGCAAUAUGUCAGCGGCAGACGGGUGAGUAACGCGUGGGAACGUACCUUUUGGUUCGGAACAACUGAGGGAAACUUCAGCUAAUACCGGAUAAGCCCUUACGGGGAAAGAUUUAUCGCCGAAAGAUCGGCCCGCGUCUGAUUAGCUAGUUGGUGAGGUAAUGGCUCACCAAGGCGACGAUCAGUAGCUGGUCUGAGAGGAUGAUCAGCAACAUUGGGACUGAGACACGGCCCAAACUCCUACGGGAGGCAGAAGUGGGGAAUAUUGGACAAUGGGCGCAAGCCUGAUCCAGCCAUGCCGCGUGAGUGAUGAAGGCCCUAGGGUUGUAAAGCUCUUUUGUGCGGGAAGAUAAUGACGGUACCGAAAGAAUAAGCCCCGGCUAACUUCGUG
rnacentral:rRNA from 1 species